AAAAUAAAUAAAUAAAUAAAUAAUUAUCCUACCGUAGGGCUUUGAAUUCUAUGAGUUAUGACAAGUAUGAAAAACAAGAACAAGAAUGGUAUAACUGGUGAUAAGUUGAGUAAUGAUAGAGUACUGAUUGAGUUAAUCUGAUAACCUUAUCAUCUAUGUUUUAACACUUUUCUUGCCAAAGAUGCUCAUUUGUGCAGUAAUGCAGAAUUAUGACAUACUGUUUAACUUCAAUUCUUUUUCACUGCAGAAUGGCCCUAGCCCAAAUAUAAUUCAGCAAUUUGCAGGUCAUGCUCAAGAUUACUACCAACGGUUAACAAGAUAAGAUGAAGACCACCACCAUGAAAUAAAAUUCAAUGCAUUACAGACAAGACAGAACGGAAAGAAGAAGCCAAGAGAAAAGUUCAAAGCAUUACAAGGACAUAACUAGAAAGGAAAUGAAGGAACUUUGAAAUUCCAUGAAAAGUCAAAAAGCUUCCAAUAAGAGUCAACUAGAAAACAUGCAGUCACAAAAGACUCCCUUCACAAAGAGUGCAACUCCAAUAGAAUUUCAACUAUAUGGAGCUGACAUUGUUAAGUACAAAAAUUCAUGUUAAUAAACCAUUUAGUUCUGUGCUCAUUAAGUUAAAUUUGUCAUGAAAACUUUUAGUCAUAUUCCUCCUUGAGGAACAUUAUUUGCUAUAUUGGCUUUAGAGUUUUGACAUCCUUUUUUUAUUCUUCUGGACUUAGUGAAUCAUUAAAAUUAGGUUCAAGACAUAAGCAUGCCGAGGUAGCUCAGAUAUGUAUCAUAUCAAGAUUUAAAGGCUUCAGUUUGCAAAAACAUAUAUGUUUGAUAGAAAGUAUUGUGGUCACAAAACAUAAAAUGCCUACACAUGAUGUCCUAGUCUAGUCUGUAGAAAUUUCAUGUUAAAUUUUUUUAGUAGUUCACUGAACGGAUCACAAAACAACAUGGAAGAAUAUUGCCAUUAGUUUGUUCUACCUAGCGAAAAAUUUCAAACCUACAAGGUCACACAAACACUAGAUGGGACCUGCACACCCAUUAACCAACCUCAACAUGGGCAUUGUUACUACAAGUAAACAAGUCGUGUCUUUCUUCUCUCUGUUUUUCUUUUCAUUAGGAGAAUUACAUCCAUAUACAUAGAAACAGUCCCAAGUACAAUGCCAAAGAAUUUGGAAGCUCAAACAAUUUUAAUAAGAUAUUACUCAUAUUCAGGCCCUGCUACCAUCAAUCUAAUACUAAUACACAUACAAACACACUACUGGCUUCUAAAAUCUUCCAUUUGAAGGACUCAGGUAUUCACCAAGACAAACAAAUUAGGAAAGCACAGUGGUAACCUAUCCAUUCAUGUUUGUAAUGGUAUUAUGGUAAAUGAGAUAAAUAGUAAAUGAUCUGGUCACUAGCAGAAGUCAUAUAAAUCAGAGUCACUAGUAAAAGUUCCAGUCAACAGUCGAUUCAUAAUUCUGUUGCAGAUUGCUUGAAUCAAUUUCUUCUAAUAUAAUUUCUUUUUAAUUUAGUAUUAGAUUUUUAAUUUUAAAAUACCAAACUUAGAUCCUAAUGAUCCGUAAUUAAUGGAGCAGGAGCACAUCUGAAUUCCAAAGCAGCUGAAACAUUGCAGAGGAGAUAUUGAUAAUAUAUAUAUAUAUAGGUGGCCAAGAUAAAAUA
rnacentral:misc_RNA from 1 species